rnacentral:rRNA from 1 species
GACGAACGCUGGCGGCGUGCUUAACACAUGCAGGUCGAACGGUAAGGCCCUUCGGGGUACACGAGUGGCGAACGGGUGAGUAACACGUGGGUGAUCUGCCCUGCACUUCGGGAUAAGCCUGGGAAACUGGGUCUAAUACCGGAUAGGACUCCUGGCUUCAUGGUUGGGGGUGGAAAGCUUUUGCGGUGUGGGAUGGGCCCGCGGCCUAUCAGCUUGUUGGUGGGGGAAUGGCCUACCAAGGCGACGACGGGUAGCCGGCCUGAGAGGGUGACCGGUCACACUGGGACUGAGAUACGGCCCAGACUCCUCCGGGAGGCAGCAGUGGGGAAUAUUGCACAAUGGGCGCAAGCCUGAUGCAGCGACGCCGCGUGAGGGAUGACGGCCUUCGGGUUGUAAACCUCUUUCAGCUAUGACGAAGCGCAAGUGACGGUAGUAGCAGAAGAAGGACCGGCUAACUACGUGCCAGCCGCCGCGGUAA